rnacentral:rRNA from 1 species
UACAGAGGGGGCAAGCGUUGUUCGGAAUUACUGGGCGUAAAGGGCGCGUAGGCGGCCUGCUAAGUCGAACGUGAAAUCCCUGGGCUCAACCCAGGAACUGCGUCCGAUACUGGUUGGCUUGAAUCCGGGAGAGGAUGUGGAAUUCCAGGUGUAGCGGUGAAAUGCGUAGAUAUCUGGAGGAACACCGGUGGCGAAGGCGACAUCCUGGACCGGUAUUGACGCUGAGGCGCGAAAGCCAGGGGAGCAAACGGG